CGUCCUGGUAGGCGGUGGCCACGUCGCUUUCCUUGAGGUGGAUGGCCGGCAGACCCUGGUUGGAGGCCUGCAGCACGUC
rnacentral:tRNA from 1 species